UCUCUCUUCUCUCUCUCUCUCUCUCUCUCUCACACUCAUAUUCUCUUUCUCUCUCUCUCUCUCUCUCUCUCCUUAUUGUCACUCUCUAUUCUCUACAACUCCAAUGACCACCUUCAAACCCUCAUAGAUCAAACUUAAAAUUACCACCAUCACACUCCCCUCAUCCUGACGAACUCAUCUGUACCAACUGAUCAUGAAAUGGACGAGUUUUGAGUCCAACUCAGAGCUCCGACUCGGGUGGAGUUUUCCCGACGUGUUCCCGUCCGAGUUACAAGGUUUCGAGAGUUUUGGAAGCACCUACGCAACUCCUCAUGGCCACUAACCUAAGUUGGGAGAGGAGCCAAUGUCGGAAUACCCAGUUUCAAGGAGUCGAGUUUAGGUCUGAGACUUUUGAGCCAAUUUCAGUCCAUUUCCAUCCACUUUUUGGACUUUUGAAAUGUAUAAUCUUAUUCUACUCCUCAAGAGCUUCAUUUCUAUAUAAAGUGCGUUGAAAAUGGUUGAGAAAUGAGCAAGAUAUGAAGAUUUGAAAUUUUUCCAAAAAUUGGUGAAAUUUUCCCAAUUUUUGGCAAACCAGACGACGGCGGCGGCUGACGGCAACCGAGGUCCACUGGAGAAAGAGGAAUAUUCUGUUAGACUAACGGAAUAUUCUAAUGCCAUUAAGGUGCGUGGUCGCGACUUGGCGGCGCGUGAGAGUUCGUCCGGCCACCGGCUGGCGAGUGGUUGACAUGUACGGGUCCACGUCGUCGAGUAGAAUGUUUUUGUAUAUUUAAACCCUCCAUUUGAGCAAACUAUGGGGGUUUUUCCUAGCCUUUUCGUUUAUGUCCUUAUUAAUUAAUUAGUUUAGUUAUUUCGCACAUAGGUGAGACUUAUCUUGAGGACUUACGAGGUCAAGCAAGGCUAGGAGGCUACGAUCCAUUGACGUAUCAGUGAGUGGGCAUUUGUUUUCGUGUGUGUGUAUAUAUAUAUAAACUUUAUAGUUUCCACAUAUGCUUUUGGGUUGAUUUAUGGCUAUCAUGCCAUGUUUUAUUUCAUUUUUGAAAUGUUAUUACGUGGUUGAGAAUUAUAUACUGUCAUGGCAUGUUCAUAUA